rnacentral:rRNA from 1 species
UACGGGGGGGGCAAGCGUUGUUCGGAAUUACUGGGCGUAAAGGGCGCGUAGGCGGCUUUUCAAGUCGGGCGUGAAAUCUCCUGGCUUAACCCGGAAGGGUCGUUCGAUACUGUUGAGCUAGAGUGUGGAAGAGGCAACUAGAAUUCCGUGUGUAGCGGUGAAAUGCGUAGAUAUACGGAGGAAUACCUGAGGCGAAGGCGGGUUGCUGGGCCAACACUGACGCUGAGGCGCGAAAGCCAGGGGAGCAAACGGG